rnacentral:lncRNA from 1 species
CUUAUAUAUAUUAAUUUAUUUUCUAUUUAAUUUGUUGAUUUCCUUAAUCUUCUCCCCUUCAUAGAUUUUCAUUGGAUAAAAUCUCUUUUGACCAAUUCUAACAAUCUCCCACUUGAAGACUGAUUUUAAUUUGUCUUCACACCUUAGUCAUUACACCACCAAUCUUCUGUAGUCUAUUAUUGUAGCAAGCCAACUGAAGUUGAACACAAUUUCAGUUUGUCAAUGGUUACCACUUUUGUUAACAUGUCUGCUGGAUUUUUACUUUCGAGAAUCUUUCUCAAUGUUAGCACCCC